GGGUAGCUCAGGGGUAGAGCAGUGGACUGAAAAUCCUCGUGUCGGUGGUUCAAAUCCACCCUCG
rnacentral:tRNA from 1 species